rnacentral:rRNA from 1 species
AUUGAACGCUGGCGGAAUGCUUUACACAUGCAAGUCGAACGGUAGAGGGGGCAACCCCUUGAGAGUGGCGAACGGGUGAGUAAUAUAUCGGAACGUGCCCAGUCGUGGGGAUAACGUAGCGAAAGUUACGCUAAUACCGCAUACGAUCUAAGGAUGAAAGCGGGGGAUCGCAAGACCUCGCGCGAUUGGAGCGGCCGAUAUCAGAUUAGGUAGUUGGUGAGGUAAAGGCUCACCAAGCCAACGAUCUGUAGCUGGUCUGAGAGGACGACCAGCCACACUGGAACUGAGACACGGUCCAGACUCCUACGGGAGGCAGCAGUGGGGAAUUUUGGACAAUGGACGCAAGUCUGAUCCAGCCAUUCCGCGUGCAGGAUGAAGGCCCUCGGGUUGUAAACUGCUUUUGUACGGAACGAAAAGGUUUGUCUUAAUACGAUGAGCUCAUGACGGUACCGUAAGAAUAAGCACCGGCUAACUACGUAGCCAGCAGCCG